rnacentral:rRNA from 1 species
GACGUAGGGGGCCAGCGUUGUUCGGAAUUACUGGGUGUAAAGGGUUCGUAGGCGGUGUGGCAAGUUGGGAGUGAAAUCUCUGGGCUCAACUCAGAGCCUGCAAGCGAAACUGUGGUGCUGGAGUAUGGGAGAGGUGCGUGGAAUUCCCGGUGUAGCGGUGAAAUGCGUAGAUACUGGGAGGAACACCGGUGGCGAAGGCGGCUACCUGGACAGGUACUGACGCUGAUGCGCGAAAGCCAGGGGAGCAAACAGG